UGAUUCUGAUGUUUGCCUCUGAAGCGCUUUCUGCACCAGCUGGAGCUGAGCCCGAGAGGUGGCCAAAGCCCCCUUGGAAGGGGAUGUUCACUGGGCCCCGCAGAGGCCCCCCGAUAUUUUCAGUCUCUGGGUUUCUCAGGACCACCUGGUUUAUUCCGGUUUUCUUUUUUUUUUUUCUUUGAGACAGAGUCUCACUCUGUCACCCAGGCUGGAGUGCGGUGGCACAAUCUUGGCUCACUGCAACUUCGCCUCCCAGGUUCAAGCGAUUCUUCUGCCUCAGCCUCCCGAGUAGCU
rnacentral:lncRNA from 10 species